AACAGUUAUGUUCUCGAAAUUUAAAGAAUUUGGCGGCUCUUCAGUCCAGUUAGAGGAACCUGUCCUGUAAACGAUAAACCACGAAUUAUCUUACUUUUUCUUGCUUUUUUCAACUGGUAUACCGUCAUUAUUAGAUAAUCUUUAAAUAGAUUUGUCUGAAUAGAUUAUUAUUUCUAGAAUAUUAGAUCAGGGUGCCGUCGAUGAAAAAGAAGAGAUGGGUUACAAUACUAUUUAGUAAAUGAAUGACGAAGUGAAAGUUCCGUUUGAAGGUGGAUUUAAUAGUAGAGGUGUCUGUAGUGAGGACCCUCGAUUGUGGUCCUGAAGAGUGUACACAUCGCCCGUCACUCUCA
rnacentral:rRNA from 1 species